GACGAACGCUGGCGGCGUGCUUAACACAUGCAAGUCGAACGGAAAGGCCCUGCUUUUGUGGGGUGCUCGAGUGGCGAACGGGUGAGUAACACGUGAGUAACCUGCCCUUGACUUUGGGAUAACUUCUGGAAACUGGGGCUAAUACCGGAUAGGAGCUCCUGCUGCAUGGUGGGGGUUGGAAAGUGUCGGCGGUUGGGGAUGGACUCGCGGCUUAUCAGCUUGUUGGGGGGGUAGUGGCUUACCAAGGCUUUGACGGGUAGCCGGCCUGAGAGGGUGGCCGGGCACAUUGGGACUGAGAGACGGAGCAGACGGCUACGGGAGGCAGCGGUGGGAAGUAUUGCGCAAUGGGCGGAAGCGUGAUGCAGCGGCGCCGGGUGCGGGAUGACGGCCUACGGGUUGUGAACCGCUUUCGCCUGUGACGAAGCGUGAGUGACGGUAAUGGGUAAAGAAGCACCGGCUAACUACGUG
rnacentral:rRNA from 1 species